rnacentral:rRNA from 1 species
UACGAAGGGGGCUAGCGUUGCUCGGAAUCACUGGGCGUACAGGGUGCGUAGGCGGGUCUUUAAGUCAGGGGUGAAAUCCUGGAGCUCAACUCCAGAACUGCCUUUGAUACUGAAGAUCUUGAGUUCGGGAGAGGUGAGUGGAACUGCGAGUGUAGAGGUGAAAUUCGUAGAUAUUCGCAAGAACACCAGUGGCGAAGGCGGCUCACUGGCCCGAUACUGACGCUGAGGCACGAAAGCGUGGGGAGCAAACAGG